rnacentral:rRNA from 1 species
GAUGAACGCUGGCGGCGUGCCUAAUACAUGCAAGUCGAGCGAACAGACGAGGAGCUUGCUCCUCUGACGUUAGCGGCGGACGGGUGAGUAACACGUGGAUAACCUACCUAUAAGACUGGGAUAACUUCGGGAAACCGGAGCUAAUACCGGAUAAUAUAUUGAACCGCAUGGUUCAAUAGUGAAAGACGGUUUUGCUGUCACUUAUAGAUGGAUCCGCGCCGCAUUAGCUAGUUGGUAAGGUAACGGCUUACCAAGGCAACGAUGCGUAGCCGACCUGAGAGGGGGAGUGGGAAGGCGGGGAGAGAGACAAGGUAGAGACUAGGACGGGAGGGAGCAGCGGGGAAGAGGGGAGAAUGGGAGAAGGAGGGAAGGAGCAAAGUAGUGGGAGUGAAGAAGGUAUGAUGAUCGUAGAAGUGUGGUAUGAGGGAAGAAAAAAAGGGAAAGUACCGAGUAACGGGAAGAGGGCAGAAAAACAGAAGGGCAGGGCUAGCUACGGG